rnacentral:rRNA from 1 species
AUCGAACGCUGGCGGCAGGCUUAACACAUGCAAGUCGAACGAGUGGCGGACGGGUGAGUAAUGUAUGGGGAUCUGCCUGAUGGAGGGGGAAAACUACUGGAAACGGUAGCUAAUACCGCAUACCAUCAGAUGAACCCAUAUGGGAUUAGUUGGUAGGUAAGGUAACGGCUUACCUAGGCGACGAUCCCUAGCUGGUCUGAGAGGAUGAUCAGCCACACUGGGACUGAUACACGGCCCAGACUCCUACGGGAGGCAGCAGUGGGGAAUAGUGGACAAGGGGCGCAAGCCUAAUGCAGCCAUGCCGCGUGUAUGAAGAAGGCCUUCGGGUUGUAAAGUACUUUCAGUCGGGAGGCGUUACCGACAGAAGAAGCACCGGCUAACUCCGUGCCAGCAGCCGCGGUAAUAC